rnacentral:rRNA from 1 species
UACGUAGGGGGCAAGCGUUGUCCGGAUUUAUUGGGCGUAAAGCGCGCGUAGGCGGCCCUGUAAGUCCGUUGUGAAAGUCAAAGGCUCAACCUUUGAAAGCCGAUGGAUACUGCAGGGCUAGAGUCCGGAAGAGGCGAGUGGAAUUCCUGGUGUAGCGGUGGAAUGCGCAGAUACCAGGAGGAACACCAAUAGCGAAGGCAGCUCGCUGGGACGGUACUGACGCUAAGGCGCGAAAGCGUGGGGAGCGAACAGG